AGUUUAAGGCGAUUUGGGCCAAGAUGAUGGACUCUUCUAAAUAUACAAUGAUGUCAUCUGCAAACAGGGACAAUUUGAUUUUCUUCCUUCCU